rnacentral:rRNA from 1 species
CCUACGGGAGGCAGCAGUGGGGAAUAUUGCACAAUGGGGGAAACCCUGAUGCAGCGACGCCGCGUUAGCGAUGAAGUAUUUCGGUAUGUCAAGCUCUAUCAGCAGGGAAGAAAAUGACGGUACCUGCCUAAGAAGCAGCGGCUAACUACUUGCCAGCAGCCGCGGUAAUACGGAGUGGGCAAGCGUUAUUCGGCUUUACUGGGUGUAAAGGGAGCGUAGUCGGCUGUGCAAGGCAGAUGUGAAAGCCAGGGGCUCAACCCCGGGACUGCAUUUGGAACUGUGUGGCUGGAGUGUCGGAGAGGCAGGCGGAAUUCCUAGUGUAGCGGUGAAAUGCGUAGAUAUUAGGAGGAACACCAGUGGCGAAGGCGGCCUGCUGGACGAUGACUGACGUUGAGGCUCGAAAGCGUGGGGAGCAAACAGGAUUAGAUACCCCAGUAGUC